AUCUUGAAAAAAAAAUUGACGUUUACUUGACCGAAAUGUAAACAAGCUGCGGUGAAGCAUUCUUUGUUGGUCAAACGAUCUCUAGCAUACGUUGACGAAGCUUGAUUUGAAGUGCUCUUGAUGAAAAUAAUCAUUAAUGUGUUUAAUCGAACGUAUAACACACACGUUGUAUUAUUGAAGACGAUUAGUGAGAUGUGGUGCGUGGAAAUUGUGAUUGACUAUCUAUUUGAGUGUGUUGACGGCCGUAUUGCUAUGUUGAUUGGUUGAACUAUAAGUGAAAUAUAUUUAAUACCUUCCACAAUGCCGAGUUCGUGUGCAGUGAAAUCGUGUGCCAAUAGCCGUACGAGCGUGAAACAGCGAGGACUGAGUGUGGUAUUUUUCGAGUUCCCAAAACAAAUUGAACUGCGAAAAUGCUGGGAGCAAUUUUGUAACCGUGGGGAAAAUUGGAGCGCCGGGAAAUAUUCUGUCGUGUGUUCGGUACAUUUCAAGGCAGAGGACUUUCAAAUUCAACAUGCCCCACUGAUGAAAUCUCGAUCCUUGACAAAGUUACAAGGCCAAGUUAUUAACAAUGCCGAGCCAGGUGAAACACGAUGCAGUAAUUGCGAUUCACAUGCAGCGCAAAUAGCAGAUCUAAAACAUCAUAUCAGCACGCUUGAAAAGGAACAACAAGAAUGGAUCAAAUUACGGGAAGCAAAUAGCAUCUUGAAAGAUCGGUUAGACAUGGCUGUAAAAGAAAAAGCAGAUCUGAAAAAAACAAAAUAAUAGUUUGAACAAAGAGAUUGAAAAGAUUAAAAAUUAAAAAGAUUAAAAAAAGUAGCAUACUUCCAAGCGAUUUAAUUCCAAAAAUAAAAAAACUUCUUAAAAA